rnacentral:rRNA from 1 species
GUGAGUGAAUCGCUCCCGGCUCCCCACACUUCCUUCUUCUUGUUGUCCACUUGCCGGUCGUCUAAUGUAUGUGGUAGAGUAAGACAAGAACCUCGUUGUACAGCUCAGGAGUCCUUUAGGUCGAGGUCUAGUCUCCAUUUGAAGGAGGCGAACGCAAGGAGUUCGCACUAAUGAGGGAGGUAGGUAUAUAUAUCCCGGAUAUGUAAAAGGCUCCAUCGGAAACUGGUUACUAUUAUAAUAAUCAUAUACUCUAUAUACUAUGUUUUUAAUAUAGUAAUCUUUGAGGAAAGUGUAUGCUUAAGCUACCAUACGAAACACAUUGUACGUACAGUAUAUAAUAGCACGAUUGGGUAACAGUUUCCAAUAGAGUUUUUUGCAUAAUCCGGGAUAUAUACACCUACCUCCCUCAUACAUUAAAAUACACCAAAGCUAGUCAAGGCCACCAACAAAAGAACUACAAAUAUAGUCACCGACGCGUGCAAGGUUCAAGAGCGUCGACUAGUAAAAAAAAGACUUCUUUUACCUGGCCGUCUCUACCCAGCAGUACCUUCAGGUCGUACCGGACAAGAACGCGACCAGCACCCGCGCCGGGAGUUGAUCGAAUCGAAUCGAUCGUUGCGUUAAAGUGUCAUUGAAUGGUUGAUUGUCGUCCGUAGCUCUACAUUAAAGAAGUGGAAGAAGUUUUAUAGGCGCCGGAUUUAUAAAGGCGGUUCUCUUUUUUAGCUUUUUCCUUGAUGAAGUGAGUAACGUAGACGUGUAGUACGUACAUCGAAAGUAUAUAAACUAACCUCUGUUCGUUUAGUAACCUCUUACCUUGAUUUAUGUCUCGUGGGUAUGGUAUGGCCGGUAGAAUAGAAGUACACUAACCUAAGUGUUCAACAAAGAAUAUUUAGUCAUCAACCUUGAACCUUACCUUCGUUUCGUCUUUGUGACGUCGGGACCGGAUGUUAGUCAUAAGUCAAAGUCAAAGAAGACGUUUUUAUUUGACCCGAAAUGACUACGUGAACGAUUUUUUAGGCCGGUACCGCUCUUGUCACCCCGUGGCUUACGGCGGCUCGCAGUUGCUGCCGGCCCCUGCCCUUGUGCGCCGCAGUCCACCACCGACUACCACGACGACCUGUACGAGCACCACGAGACGCCCGUCUGGCACCCGUGGGACGACCCGGCGAUGAUGAUGUUGAGGCCGCCGUUGUCGUUCACCUACCGGUGCGAGUGCUAUAGGCCGCCGAGCGGGGACGACCGGUAGGAGGACGAGGAGUGCGGCGCGCUGGGGCGGCCGCUCGGGGCCGGCCGCCGCCGGUUCUACCACGGGUAGAUGGAGCCCGAGCCGUGGGAGUAGCCGAAGCUGUUGGAGUACAUGAGCAUGCGCGACGUCAUGGACGGCCACAGGUGGAAGCGCGACCACCGGCGGUGCGUCGAGCGGAAGUUGAGGCAGUGGAGGGCGGAGUAGUUGCGCGUCGCGAAGUGCCGCGAGUAGCGGUUGAGGCAACACCAGGAGUGGAAGAGCCGGCGCGACGAGCCGCAGCCGAGGAGGAGGCUGCCGUGGAGGCGGCGGCUGGACGGCGCGCCGUUCAUGUGCGACCCCAAGUAGGAGUGCGACAGCCGGAGGCGGCACAAGCGCGAGUAGGACAGGGAGUAGCUCCAGUGGAAGCUCUUCCGCUAGGCCCCCUCCUGCGAGGCCACCCACGACGCCCACGUCUACACGUGGUUGAAGCACCGCCGGUGCCACCGCCACACGCCCGACGACCGCAGCCCCCUCACCGCCUACUAGGGCCCCCUCUACCGCCGCAAGCUCCUGCCCGCCCGCUCCAUGCACCGCUGCGACCACCCCUGCCGCCACAGCACCGUCCGGUACAGCCACCGCUGCGACGCCGACUAGUGCUCCCACAGCAGCGACAAGCGGUUGCACUGCCCGUGGCACAGCGACGGCGACCACGGCCACAAGCGCCACCACGAUAAGCCCCUGUCUUACUGCCCCUAGUUCCGGCAGCGGUACGAGUACCGGCAGACCCCCAAGGAGAGGAUGCAGAUGGUCGUGAUGGAGCUGCCGGCCGCGCGGCGCCGGUACCCCCCAGUUCCACCUCGCCGUCUCACGACGCAGACGUUCCGCGCCUGCCCGCCGCUCCGGCGAAACGGGCGGACUCUGCAAGCAACCGGUUUGUUUCGACUUUAAUGUCAUCACCACAGGAUUAUCGUGAGAGAAAAAGAAAGUAAAAAGAAAACUUUAUGAUAGUCUAUAUGCCUGAGGAUGUAGGACAAACCAACCUCUGAAUCUUAAGCCCGGUACGAAUCUGUGCUUUCUUCAUAGGCUUUUUGUGUCAUAAUAUUGUACGUCCGUGCUUUACGGUGUCGUUUGUAGAUUCCCAUUUUAUAAUGAGAAAGGUUGUCUAGGUUCCCAUUUUACUGUACUCUGGCACAGUUACCAAAAAUGCCGCUGAAACGAGUAAACGAACGUUGAUAUAGUCUCCGUUUUCUGUUCCACUUUGUGUGUCGGUCAUCCUUCCGCUAUACCUGUACUCGUUCUAGCUUUAGGUCAACAAAUGUAUUAUUUGUGUACGAAACUAACAGUAUGUUCUUGCUGGUGUAUUAUCAUUCGUUUUGAGUCACGAACCGCUGUCGGUCGGUCGUGACCAAACUGCUUGUUUAAGUAACCAUGUCAGCGAGAUCAAUCAGAAGGGGAAAGGUCUCUAGUCGUUUGAGUAGCCCGAGGUCCCACAAGAGGUAGAGCACGUAGAAGGAGGAGUGGAACCGGAAGUGGAAGAACCGCAUGAACGGACGGAAGAAGGCGAAGAGGUCACGCGCCUAGACCACGAGGUUUAGUUGUUUUGGGAGCAAUCUUUUACACCUAGUGAUGUACCGCCCUUUGCGAAAUAACGUUGUCUUAAUUUAUGUCCUACGGUAGUUUUAGGACCACUCUUCAUUUAGGAAAAGGGGUCUUGGUGUUUCUAUGAUAUGAUGAGGG